CUGAAGUUCCUUGUAGGUGAACAAUCUGCAAGUAGCCGAGUACUUCUCAUGCAAACCCUCCAAUUCUUUAGGCAGGCCUUUUGAACUGUGGUCUGGUGAAGGUGGGGCAGUCACUGCCUCACUACCCACCGCAACAAUUGCACCACUUUCUCCAUUCAAACAAAAAGGUUGAUCUUCACCUGGAUCACAACUACUUCUUCUAUCAUCAAAAUUGGAGGUGGCUGAAGGCUGCCUACUGGGCAACUGCAUUGCCCACUGAACUACUGAGAUCUUCCGCACCAGAGACCUCUCUGAAAUUUGCUGGUCUGGUAAUACAGCCCGUCGAAGCAGUGGCCAACCAGGUCUCGCUUCAGGUAAUUCUCUGAUCAACAUAGAAAUAGAACUUGCUGCUGCUUCCUCUUCUUUCUGUACUGGCACUAUAGCCAUAGAUCUAUCUUCACCAUCAUCCGCAGA
rnacentral:lncRNA from 1 species